rnacentral:rRNA from 1 species
GACGGAGGAUGCAAGUGUUAUCCGGAAUCACUGGGCGUAAAGCGUCUGUAGGUGGUUUAAAAAGUCCACUGUUAAAAAUUGAAGCUUAACUUCAAAGAUGCCGUGGAAACUUUUUAAACUUGAGUAUGAUAGGGGUAGAGGGAAUUUCCAGUGGAGCGGUGAAAUGCGUAGAUAUUGGAAAGACCACCAAUGGCGAAGGCACUCUACUGGGCCAUUACUGACACUGAGAGACGAAAGCUAGGGGAGCGAAUGGG